rnacentral:misc_RNA from 1 species
GUAGGUGAACCUGCGGAGGGAUCAUUAGCAUGACCCAUGAGACCGUGGGGGGCAGAGUGAGGCAGUGUGACGCUUGGGCAGUAGGGAGUGAAUCCCCCUGCUCUCCUCAGCGGACUCGGUCUCCUCUCCUCUACGUGCUCGACCCACACACCCUUGAACCUCUCUGUAUCACCACCCCUCACCUCUCCCCCUUCUUUUGUCCCCAUUAACUGUCCCUUGUAGAAUCUAGAUAUCACUCCUAGCAAUGGAUCUCUAGACUUCC